rnacentral:misc_RNA from 1 species
GCCACUUUCUUACAAGUUGACGAUUAGCCAACCUGGCUUCCGUAUAUAUAUACUAUUGGAGACGAAAGUUACGUUUCCCCCGAAUGUAUAAUAAUAUAAAAUAAUAUAUAAUAUAAGUACGCCGUCCUAAACUUUCUGCCUUUAGCCUAACCAUAAGUAAAAUAAAAUAACAUUUUUCGGUUAGAUCAUUGUAAUCUGUGAAUAUUAUCAAGCGGAAAAUUUUAUUGAAUAUUUUUUUACGACGAAACUAUGACCCUUCACCAAAAUCAGUCUUGUGUCUAAUAUUUUCGCAAAAGUAUCAAUUGAAAUCUCAUUUGCAAUGAGUAAUGAAACUGUACUGUUUUUUCGAGGAAAUAACGAGGGAACACAUCGAGAGAUAUCAUCGUUGUUUAUGUGGACUACUUCCUCAGCCAAUUGAUGGAACGGGUUUGAAUGCUAAUGAUGUUUGGGAUGAUUCUGUUUUAAUCAAAGCAUAUGAUAAAGCUGUAAGCUUGGCAAAGGAAGAAGUUGCAAAACGACUUAGUAUAAACACUAAUCAUACUAAUCAGUAUGAUCAGAAAAAGUAUUAUCCGGCGAGUGCAACAGAAAAGAAAUGGGUUGUUGGGUCUCAUUGCCGAGCCGUCUAUUCGUUGGAUGGUAGAAUGUAUGAAGCAAUCAUCAUAAAAAUAUUCCAUGAUAUUGAUAAAUGUCUUGUCAAGUUCGUCGGUUAUGGAAACAUAGAGAAAGUAGAACUUUCAUCUUUAUAUACUUCAAGAGACAUAAAAAGUUCUUUAGAGCAACACGUAACUUCUGUUUCUUCGACUGAUAUUUCUAAGCAACAUAAUGCGAACAAACAAAAUAAUAAUGAUCGCGCUGGAAACAGACAUUCAACGAAUGAUGAUAUCCAUUCGUAUUAUAAGUCUUUUUCAUCAAAUUUAUCGGCUACUUCUGAAUUUGAAAUGCCGACAGCGCCACCACUUCCACCUCAAAUAUUGACACAACUUCCUAUUAAUAGUUCUGAUGCGCUUUCCAGUAUGCUAAUGUCUUGGUAUAUCAGUGGUUUUCACACAGUCCCAGUGACAGCAAUGGCUGCUACAGAUGAUAGGCUUUUGCUCCACCACCAACGUUUGAAGGCUGCUGAUGGAGUACUCCUUUCUCUGGUUUCCUGCUGGCCACCAACUGCUAGUGAGUAUACUAAGAGACUGCUACAACACAUCCAGCUGCGCACACAACAAAUUGGGGUGAAGUAGAAUGAGUUUAUCACUGCUUUGCCGAUAAAUAAAUCGCUGCCAGCCUAUUUUCUUGAGAGUAGCCUUUGGUUUCCCAAGUAACUGAAACACUCUGGAGGGCAGCAGCUUAUUAACCCAGACCUCGAAGUCUCGAGAAGAAAUCGGCCUGGCAUCCGGUGGUAGGUUUGCACAGAUAAGCAUGGAUGAAGACAACUUGCCGAGCUUGCGUUUGGCAGCAAUAGCAGAUUGCACAAGGUUACUAUCAUGGUAUUGGGCAAGUUCAACGAUUGAGAUCACACGAAAAACGGGAAAAAGCGGAAUAAUCAUCAAAUAUUAAUCAAACCCAAUCAGCUAAAAUU